rnacentral:rRNA from 1 species
GAAUAUUGGUCAAUGGGCGAGAGCCUGAACCAGCCAAGUAGCGUGAAGGAUGACCGCCCUAUGGGUUGUAAACUUCUUUUAUAUGGGAAUAAAGGGUGCCACGUGUGGCAUUUUGUAUGUACCAUAUGAAUAAGGAUCGGCUAACUCCGUGCCAGCAGCCGCGGUAAUACGGAGGAUCCGAGCGUUAUCCGGAUUUAUUGGGUUUAAAGGGAGCGUAGGUGGACAUGUAAGUCAGUUGUGAAAGUUUGCGGCUCAACCGUAAAAUUGCAGUUGAAACUGCGUGUCUUGAGUACAGUAGAGGUGGGCGGAAUUCGUGGUGUAGCGGUGAAAUGCUUAGAUAUCACGAAGAACUCCGAUUGCGAAGGCAGCUCACUGGACUGCAACUGACACUGAUGCUCGAAAGUGUGGGUAUCAAACAGGAUUAGAUACCCUGGUAGUCCACACAGUAAACGAUGAAUACUCGCUGUUUGCGAUAUACAGUAAGCGGCCAAGCGAAAGCAUUAAGUAUUCCACCUGGGGAGUACGCCGGCAACGGUGAAACUCAAAGGAAUUGACGGGGGCCCGCACAAGCGGAGGAACAUGUGGUUUAAUUCGAUGAUACGCGAGGAACCUUACCCGGGCUUAAAUUGCAAAUGAAUAUGCCGGAAACGGCAUAGCCGCAAGGCAUUUGUGAAGGUGCUGCAUGGUUGUCGUCAGCUCGUGCCGUGAGGUGUCGGCUUAAGUGCCAUAACGAGCGCAACCCUUAUCUUCAGUUACUAACAGGUCAUGCUGAGGACUCUGGAGAGACUGCCGUCGUAAGAUGUGAGGAAGGUGGGGAUGACGUCAAAUCAGCACGGCCCUUACGUCCGGGGCUACACACGUGUUACAAUGGGGGGUACAGAAGGCCGCUACACAGCGAUGUGAUGCCAAUCCCUAAAGCCCCUCUCAGUUCGGAUCGAAGUCUGCAACCCGACUUCGUGAAGCUGGAUUCGCUAGUAAUCGCGCAUCAGCCACGGCGCGGUGAAUACGUUCCCG